CCUGGCUCAGGAUGAACGCUGGCGGUAUGCUUUACACAUGCAAGUCGAACGGAAGUUUUUUAAACUUUAGUGGCGGACGGGUGAGUAACACGUGAGAAUUUACCUUUAGGAGGGGAAUAACAAUUAGAAACAAUUGCUAAUGCCGCAUAUUAUUAAAAAAAUAAAAGAAGAAAUUCGCCUAAAGAAAAGCUUGCGUCUGAUUAGCUAGUUGGUGGGGUAAAAGCCUACCAAGGCGACGAUCAGUAGCUGGUUUGAGAGGAUGACCAGUCACACUGGAACUGAGACACGGUCCAGACUCCUGCGGGAGGCAGCAGUGGGGAAUUUUCUGCAAUGGGCGAAAGCCUGACAGAGCGAUACCGCGUGAGGGAAUUAGAAAGCCCAAAGGGUUGUAAACCUCUUUUGUUAAGGAAGAAGUUCUGACGUUACUUAACGAAUAAGCAUCGGCUAACUCCGUGCCAGCAGCCGCGGUAAUACGGAGGAUGCAAGUGUUAUCCGGAAUCACUGGGCGUAAAGCGUCUGUAGGUGGUUUACUAAGUCUAUUAUUAAAUCUUGAAGCUCAACUUC
rnacentral:rRNA from 1 species